CUCAGUAUCAACAUGAUUAACAAAAUAACGAUCCAAUUCAAUAAAAUAUACACAAAGUUUUUGGAAGUUUAUUCUCCCGUCUAUAAAUAUAUCAGUAUAAAUUAAAUGGCUUAACAAUUUACGUGAGUCCAAAAAGACGUCAUGUGACGGUGUGUGGCUUUAGUAUAAAUAGUAAUUAAACGACUGAGUCAUUUAUUCCUUGUCUAAAUAGCCGUGACUCUUUUAAAAUGUAAUGAGAUUUUUAUUUAUGCAUUUAUAGAGUCUUUUUAUAGACCUAAAGUAUGCUUGUAUGAUUUAUUAUAAUCACCUUGAAACUUUGAGUGUAAUAUUUAUUAAACACGCUGAGCAUCGAAAAGAUUGUUGCAAUAUCACAAAGUGAUAAUAUUGAGAGUACUUAGUACCUCAGGAGCCAAUUCACGACUGAAGUUUACUUAACAAAAUGUUCUCUAUUUAUACUUAAUUCCAAUGCACUUGAUUAUGACGUCACAAUUUUCGAUUACGACAAUUGAUCUGUUUUACGGCAGUAUGUCUAAGUUGUGUUUGUGACUCAGUGAAAAUAUGGUGAAAGCGAU
rnacentral:lncRNA from 1 species